GGGGAAUUAGCUCAGCUGGCUAGAGCACCUGCUUUGCAAGCAGGGGGUCAUCGGUUCAAGUCCGAUAUUCUCCACCA
rnacentral:tRNA from 1 species